CAUCAGUUGUAAAAUAUACCUGCAUUCAAUUAUCAAUCAGUUCUUAUUUUUAGAAUAAGGUCCAUGUAAUUAGAUUCAUAUUUAGGUUUCUAAUUUGAUAGACCUAACCCUUUAACAUAUGUCACAUAGAUUCUUCAAAAAAGGGGCAGCACCUACGUCGACAUGAUGACAGUGCGGCCACGGGUAUGUUGGAUAGUGGCCCUCAGCCCUAUCUUUAUAUCUUGUAACUGCAAGAGGGUCCACUUGCAGUUAUGAGAUUAAAUAAGAAAACUGACCACAAAUCUCUUUGACUGUAACUACAAGCUGGGAAAAGGGAAAUCCUAUGCCCAGCAAUACUGUAAUUAGGGUUAACGCAUCUGUGAUUACCCUAAACGAGUCUCACAGAAGGAAACCCGUGAACUAACUAUUUGCCUUCGGUUCUCUUUUCCUCUGAUUUUCUUCAGCUUCGUUCAACAGACGCUAUUGCCAUAGCCUCUUAACGCGCAAACUGGAGAUGCCGCUGGUGGUGAAUUUGCUGCGCAGACAAAGGGCUGAUCAUAGAUUGAACCUGUCAACAAGACCACGUGGACCCCAAUCCUUAAAGAAGCUUGGAAGGGUCAAUACCUCUCACUCGCGAGUGAAGAAUCAGCCUGGCUUCCAAGACUAUGCUUAUACUGAUAAUUGCACUUCAAAUGAAGAAUCAAAUAUGGAUAUAUUGAAGCUUAUACUACUGUUCUUGGAUUGGUGUCUUUGCAUCCUGAUACAGUUCCACUAGGACCAAUGGCAUUUGAAUGCUCAAAUGAGGGACAAAAAUGUCUACAUUCUUAAAAUGAAUGCUCAAAGGAGAGACAAUAGAAACCUUGAAGCUUGUAGCAAAGAUAUGCACAAACAUAGACUGCCUUAU